rnacentral:rRNA from 1 species
UACCCUUAGGACUGGGAUAACCCUGGGAAACUGGGGCUAAUACCGGAUAGGCAAUUAUUCCUGCAAUGGUUUUUUGUUUAAAUGUUUUUUCGCCUAAGGAUGGGUCUGCGGCCGAUUAGGUAGUUGGUUAGGUAAUGGCUUACCAAGCCGUUGAUCGGUACGGGUUGUGAGAGCAAGAGCCCGGAGAUGGAACCUGAGACAAGGUUCCAGGCCCUACGGGGUGCAGCAGGCGCGAAACCUCCGCAAUGUGAGAAAUCGCGACGGGGGGAUCCCAAGUGCCAUUCUUAACGGGAUGGCUUUUCAUUAGUGUAAAGAGCUUUUGGAAUAAGAGCUGGGCAAGACCGGUGCCAGCCGCCGCGGUAACACCGGCAGCCCUAGUGGUAACAAUUUUUAUUGGGCCUAAA